rnacentral:lncRNA from 1 species
CCUUGUGAAAUGUAGGUGCAAAGAAAUGAGGAGAGGAAGACCCCCACUAAACUGAGCAGCCCGAGAUGAUUCGCUUCGGGAAGAUGUGGACAUAAUAUUUGAGAUGCUGGAAAGGAUCAUGGCCGCCCAGCAAGGUCGAGAGGAGAGAAGGGAGUUGCCCGAACCUCCCCCACUACCACAUGUUGAGCCACCGCUACAGCAAGCGGAUCCCCAACCACCCCGGCACGAGCCUGCUCCACCACAGUACCACCCGGCACCACCGCCGCAGUGUGAACCGGUGCCUCACCCACCGUACUGCCUGGCACCGCCACAGUACAAUCCGGUGCCCCACUAUAUCAUCAGGUGCCACCGCAAGGCCCCCCAGUCUAUCCCCAACUGGGCCCAGUCCCUCUUCCACGGGACCCAGCUCCUUCAUUGAUCAUCCCAGGCUACAUAGAGAGGUACAGGAGACUGAACCCUUCCACUUUUGCAGGGGGAUCCUCUUUCGAAGAUGCCCAGUAUUGGUUGGCAGAGACUGAGAGAGCUUUCAAGACUUUGGGAGUGGUUCCCGAGUAGAGAGCUGCCCUUGCUUCCUACAUGCUGGUAGGGGAAGUAGGUCGUUGGUGGGAGCUCAAGCAGACCACCCUACCUACACCAGCCACUUGGGA